rnacentral:tRNA from 1 species
GUAGGGCUGCCGGCUACGACAGAAAGUCGCCGUUCCUGAACUACGAAUCUGGGGGUCAGGAGUUCGAAUCUCUUCGGGCGCGCCA